GCCUGUCAGGGCAUCUGGCUAUCGCGAUUGCUCGGCGAGUUCAGAGAGACAGAGACUGGUGCAGUAAAGCUCAAGGUGGAUAACAAGUCAGCAAUCUCCCUGGCCAAGAACCCUGCCAUGCAUGAUAGAUCGAAUCACAUUGAACUUCGAUACCACUUCAUCAGGGACUGCGUGGAGAAGAAGAAGAUCGAGCUAGAGUUUGUGGCAACAGAACAUCAGCUCGCAGACAUGUUCACCAAGCCGCUCGGACGGGUUCGACUGCAGCAGCUACGCUCGAGCAUCGGCAUGGUGGAAGUGAACCCCUGA
rnacentral:rRNA from 1 species